AACGAACGCUGGCGGCAGGCCUAACACAUGCAGGUCGAGCGCCCGGAUUUAUCCGGGAGCGGCGCACGGAUGAGUAACGCGUGGGAACAUGCCCUGAAGUACGGAACAACCUGGGGAAACCUUGGCUAAUACCGUAUACGCCCUGAGGGGGAAAGAUUUAUCGCUUUGGGAUUGGCCCGCGUUGGAUUAGCUGGUUGGUGUGGUAACGGCGCACCAAGGCGACGAUCCAUAACUGGUCUGAGAGGAUGACCAGUCACACUGGGACUGGGACACGGCCCAGACUCCUACGGGAGGCAGCAGUGGGGAAUAUUGGACAAUGGGCGAAAGCCUGAUCCAGCCAUGCCGCGUGAGUGAAGAAGGCCUUCGGGUUGUAAAGCUCUUUCAGCGGGGACGAUGAUGACGGUACCCGCAGAAGAAGCCCCGGCUAACUUCGUGCCAGCCGCCGCCGUAA
rnacentral:rRNA from 1 species